GAUGCUCCAGUCAAUGGUUCUUGGAGGUCACCAGGAAUAAAUUUUUAGUAUAAGUAUGUUCACUAUAAUAUUUGGGACAUACUUACACUAAAAAAUAAAAUUAUUUCUUGUUUCCCUGAAAUUC
rnacentral:miRNA from 1 species